rnacentral:rRNA from 1 species
GGACGAACGCUGGCGGUAUGCCUAAUACAUGCAAGUCGAGCGCAGGAAGCAGACUGAAGCCUUCGGGUGGACGUCUGUGGAAUGAGCGGCGGAUGGGUGAGUAUCACGUGGGUAACCGUGCCUGUAAGCUUGGGAUAACUCCGGGAAACCGGUGCUAAUACCAGAUAAGAUUUCCGUUCGCAUGAACGGGAAAUGAAAGGCGGCUUUUGCUGUCACUUACAGAUGGACCCGCGUCGCAUUAGCUAGUUGGUGAGGCAAAGGCUCACCAAAGCAACGAUGCGUAGCCGACCUGAGAGGGUGAUCGGCCACACUGGGACUGAGACACGGCCCAGACUCCUACGGGAGGCAGCAGUAGGGAAUCUUCCGCAAUGGACGAAAGUCUGACGGAGCAAUACCGCGUGAAGUGAUGAAGGUCUUCGGAUCGUAAAACUCUGUUGUUAGGGAAGAACAAGCAUUAAUCUAAUAGAUUAGUGCCCUGACGGUACCUAACCAGAAAGCCCCGGCUAACUACGUGCCAGCAGCCGC